rnacentral:rRNA from 1 species
GACCUGAACUCAGUCGAGAGCACCCG